GAUGAACGCUAGCGACAGGCUUAACACAUGCAAGUCGAGGGGCAGCAUGAUUUGUAGCAAUACAGAUUGAUGGCGACCGGCGCACGGGUGAGUAACGCGUAUGCAACUUACCUAUCAGAGGGGGAUAGCCCGGCGAAAGUCGGAUUAAUACCCCAUAAAACAGGGGUCCCGCAUGGGAAUAUUUGUUAAAGAUUCAUCGCUGAUAGAUAGGCAUGCGUUCCAUUAGGCAGUUGGCGGGGUAACGGCCCACCAAACCGACGAUGGAUAGGGGUUCUGAGAGGAAGGUCCCCCACAUUGGUACUGAGACACGGACCAAACUCCUACGGGAGGCAG
rnacentral:rRNA from 1 species